UACAACUAUCUGGGGUGCCGCAAGGCUGAGAUAAAACCCAUCGAACCUGAUCUGGCUAAUACCAGCGAAGGGAGCAUAAUUCCGUUGUAUU
rnacentral:ncRNA from 2 species